rnacentral:tRNA from 1 species
GCUCCGGUAGUAUAGCCCGGCUAAGUAUUCCGGCCUUUCGAGCCGGAGACCCGGGUUCGAAUCCCGGCCGGAGCA